GUUAAGAUUAUGCAAGGAUAAAGACUCUUACAAUCCAAUGACGAGCAGAGAAUGGAUCACAAUCGCGCAUUGCUUGCAAUUCAGACCUAAGCAAUGUUUCUUCAGCAUAGAAUGCAUUAUUAUGAACAUUUUCCUUCCCAGGCUUACAAUCAACUGCCAUAUUCAUUCGUGCUACGAAGAAAUGUUGAUGAACUGGUGCAUACAAUCCUGGUGCAAUUGUUGUACCAUAUUUGCGAUAUUCUCCAGGUUGCAAUGCUCCUAAACUGAGAAUUCCCGUGAGUUUAACUUCUGCUUCAAUUUUCCCAUCCUGAAAUUCCAUAUUAUUGUACAAACAGUUGUAAGAUGUUCAAAGUGAAGGGUAUUGAUAUUUCAAUCGUCGUGAUGA